rnacentral:sRNA from 1 species
GAGCUAAUUCCUACAUCAUUGCGACGCG